UGGGGAAUAUUGCACAAUGGGCGCAAGCCUGAUGCAGCCAUGCCGCGUGUGUGAAGAAGGCCUUCGGGUUGUAAAGCACUUUCAGCGGGGAGGAAGGCGAUAAGGUUAAUAACCUUGUCGAUUGACGUUACCCGCAGAAGAAGCACCGGCUAACUCCGUGCCAGCAGCCGCGGUAAUACGGAGGGUGCAAGCGUUAAUCGGAAUUACUGGGCGUAAAGCGCACGCAGGCGGUCUGUCAAGUCGGAUGUGAAAUCCCCGGGCUCAACCUGGGAACUGCAUUCGAAACUGGCAGGCUAGAGUCUUGGAGAGGGGGGUAGAAUUCCAGGUGGAGCGGUGAAAUGCGUAGAGAUCUGGAGGAAUACCGGUGGCGAAGGCGGCCCCCUGGACAAAGACUGACGCUCAGGUGCGAAAGCGUGGGGAGCAAACAGG
rnacentral:rRNA from 1 species